rnacentral:lncRNA from 1 species
UCCCACAUAACCCGCCUUCCUCCCCUCCACAAAAAAAAGUCGCCUUCCUCGUCCGCCCACUAUUAGGCCCUAUUUUCAAUCGAUCUGUUGGAGAUGAGUUCGAUCCGGCAGCAAAUCCUCGAUCCAUGACUUCAGCAAUAUGGUGGAGAAGCAACCUGUGAACAUCACGUGAUCUCUUUCCAGACUGGAACAGGCUUAUACAAAAAUAACAUCUCUUGGACGGCCUGAGUUUGCGCCCGGCAUCAUAGGUUUGUCGUCAAGCUAUCGAUUCGAUAAAAGGUACAAUAUCCAAAUCAGAAACUCUUAUUUGAUCCUCUAGCACCCACUAAUGAGAUCAGUUUGCUAUAGGUAAACACAUCGUGUUCCUGUGCACAGCGUUUUGAGCCGCAAUGAUUGAUUAUGUGCAUGGUGGAUAUGGAUGGUGUGUACGUGCAUGUUCAGGCCGAUCUAGGAUGCCUUCUACAUUUGUAUCUUGCUGGACGAUCCUCGUGCAGGACCACAUCGAGAUUGAAUCAAGCCAUCCUGCUUCACUGCAGUUCAGAAGUCGACGAUGCAGACAUAUCUCUAGCGUGCGUUUGUUAACAGUUCAAGCAAUGAUUGAUUAUGUGCAUCGUUGAUAAGGAUGGUGUGUACGUGCAUGUUCAGGCUGGUCAAAGAUGCCUUCUACUUUUGCAUUUUGCCAGACGAACCCUGUGCAGGACCACAUCGAGAUUGUAUCAAGCCAUCCCGCUUCGCCUCAGUUCAGAAGUCAACGCCGCAGACAUAUCUCUGGCGUGUGUUUGUUAACACUUCAAAGAAAGCAAUCUGUCUUACCUAUGUGUAUGUAGGUAUAUAUUAGCACAUCUCGCUGGAAUCGAUCAACCUACUUGGGAAGUCAUAUGGGUUAUUACAUGUACGUGUGUCAUUCUUUGCAGACUGGAAUUUCCUGGCCGUCAUGCUUCGCUCUUUCUCUCUCCACAACUCCGGCUCCUUCCUGCUUUACUACUGCUACUAAAUCCAAUGCUCCCAUAGGGUAGGUUUGAUAUGUGCUAUACCAUAGUAUAUUUGUAGGAGUUCCGGUAUUAGUGAGUUUCAGACUCCUGCUACAUAUUCAGAUGAUACUAAUUGUGGUAGGAGUUAUAGUCGAAGAGUAUCAUACUUUAGAAGUUAGCUUAAUUGUAACCACAUACUUGCAAGUUAGGCACACUAAUUCAGUUUGAUCUUUUUUAUAGACAUUUAAAUGAGGUCAGAGGGCUAGCUUCUUACGAUGUCAAACUUUUGUUAUGUUUUUCACUCUCCUCCAAAUUGCACAAUCACUGUUUGGUAUUAAUUUCAUCGCUCCAGAAUUAUUAUAUUAUCUUAUGUUUGCAACCUACCUUCCAAGUUCAAACCACGCUGCAACCAAGCAUCUAUUUGUAUCUCAUAUGGACAGAUCCCUUGAUGGAUAUUGGUUUAUGGC